AUUCUGGGAGAAGCCAGCUGCCAGGGAAUGCGGAGCCUUCGACAGCCCUGUGGGAAUGUCCCUGUGGAGGAACUGAGGCCUCCAGCCAACAGCCAUCUGCCAUGUUGUAAGGACACUCAAGCUGCUCUAUGGAGAGGUCCACAUGGUGAGGAACUGAGGCCUCUGGCCAACAGCCACGUGAGUGUGCCAUCUUGGGAAAGGAUCUGCCAGCCCCAGUCAAGCCUUCAGAUACCUGCCACCCUGCCCAGCAUCUUGACUGCAACCUCAUGAAAGACCUUGAGCCAGAACCUUCCAGGAAUCAUAAAUCCGGUUCUGAUUAUCGCCACACACACAGAUCCUUCUCAAAGAUUCAGAGUCUUAUUCUUUUAUCUCUUCCCUAAAAUACGAUCUAAUUUACAAAACUUUGACUUACAACUCCGCCAGAAGCCCAGCUGGCGUGUGAAGUGAUGCACUCUGCAGCCGGCAGCACUGAAAAGCACCGGCCUCCCGGGAACCCAGCAAGGACCGUGAUCUUCAGUUAUUUUGUGCAAUAAAGAAAUUUUGUAAAACGAGUAACACCAGAUCGUGUAUCUGUUGG
rnacentral:lncRNA from 1 species